UACGUAGGGUGCAAGCGUUGUCCGGAAUUAUUGGGCGUAAAGAGCUCGUAGGCGGUUUGUCGCGUCUGCUGUGAAAACUCAGGGCUUAACCCUGAGCUUGCAGUGGGUACGGGCAGACUAGAGUGCGGUAGGGGGAGACUGGAAUUCCUGGUGUAGCGGUGAAAUGCGCAGAUAUCAGGAGGAACACCGGUGGCGAAGGCGGAUCUCUGGGCCUUACCUGACGCUCGAGGUGCGAAAGCUAGGGAGCGAACAGG
rnacentral:rRNA from 1 species